AGACCCCGAGAGGGGUGGGGGAGGGUAAUAUGAUUUAGGCUCAAGGCUGCAAAAUGCGGGAAGAGGAAAGGAACCCUCGGGAGCUGCACGCUCAGACAGCUUGAAAGAUGCCAGAAGAAAUUAAAGCUCUCAUACCUAAGUGCAUUUCAGACAAACUAUUCACUGUAGGAGCUAUUGUUGUAAUCGCAGCUUUGAUCAUUAUUAUUAUUUCAUUGGCUGGUAAGUAAGG
rnacentral:lncRNA from 1 species